GUGAACGCUGGCGGUAGGCCUAACACAUGCAAGUCGAACGGCAGCACAGUAAGAGCUUGCUCUUACGGGUGGCGAGUGGCGGACGGGUGAGGAAUACAUCGGAAUCUACUUUUUCGUGGGGGAUAACGUAGGGAAACUUACGCUAAUACCGCAUACGACCUACGGGUGAAAGCAGGGGAUCUUCGGACCUUGCGCGAUUGAAUGAGCCGAUGUCGGAUUAGCUAGUUGGCGGGGUAAAGGCCCACCAAGGCGACGAUCCGUAGCUGGUCUGAGAGGAUGAUAAGCCACACUGGAACUGAGACACGGACCAGACUCCUACGGGAGGCAGCAGUGGGGAAUAUUAGACAAUGGGCGGAAGCAUGAUCCAGCCAUACCGCGUGGGUGAAGAAGGCCUUGGGGUUGUAAAGCCCUUUUGUUGGGAAAGAAAAGCAGCAGGUUAAUACCACGCUGUUCUGACGGUACCCAAAGAAUAAGCACCGGCUAACUUCGUG
rnacentral:rRNA from 1 species